GUUUUGCAAUUUGCAGGCUGACCCUAGCCUUUGGAGAGUUAGUCAUGCAUACUUAAAAGGAUCAGACUUUCCCCUCUUUGGACUAAGCUAACUGGAACUUUAAAAAUAAUUUGCACCGUUUCCUCACACCAUUUGUUUGCCCUUUGGCCAGCAGAGACUAUUCCAGAUUUGUCUUUUCAGACACACUCAGGAUGCUGCCAUAAAGACCUGGAUCAGAAGGAC
rnacentral:lncRNA from 1 species